rnacentral:lncRNA from 1 species
GCUGGCUCCUGUCCACUCUGACCACUGUCCCUGGCCCCCUGCCCUGUCCAGUCCUUCCAGGUCCAUCUGAGUGUGUGUGUGUGUGUGUGUGUGUGUGGUAUGUGUGUGUGUCCCCAGGAGGGAUCUGGGGGUACAGGCUGGCACUUGAACCUGGCACUGGGUCCUGCCUUCAUUCCAGAUCAGAAGCAGCUCCCGGAACUGCCCCAGGGAGAGGUCUAGGCUGACCUGGCAGAUUCCUGAUGGAGGAGAAGGAGGAGGAGGCUGAGGGAUGGGAAGGAAGGGCUCAGUUUCUCCUGUGGCUUCUCCAGACACCUGGGCAUGUCCACAAAUCCACCUGAAGCCAGCAGGUCCAAGAGUUUAAAGAUUUAUUUCAGG